CAGCUAGUUGGCGAGGUAACGGCUCGCCAAGGCGAUGACGGGUAGCUGGUCUGAGAGGAUGGCCAGCCACAUUGGGACUGAGAGACGGCCCAGACUCCUACGGGAGGCAGCAGUGGGGAAUCUUGCGCAAUGGCCGAAAGGCUGACGCAGCGACGCCGCGUGCGGGAUGACGGCCUUCGGGUUGUAAACCGCUGUUGCCCGGGACGAACAACUGGCUUCGGCCAGUCUGACGGUACCGGGUGAGGAAGCACCGGCUAACUCUGUGCCAGCAGCCGCGGUAAUACAGAGGGUGCGAGCGUUGUCCGGAAUCACUGGGCGUAAAGGGCGCGUAGGCGGUCUUUUAAGCGUGUGGUGAAAGCUCGGGGCUCAACCCCGAGUCGGCCGUGCGAACUGGGAGACUGGAGCAGAUCAGAGGCAGGCGGAAUUCCGGGUGUAGCGGUGGAAUGCGUAGAGAUCCGGAAGAACACCGGUGGCGAAGGCGGCCUGCUGGGAUCUUGCUGACGCUGAGGCGCGACAGCGUGGGGAGCAAACAGGAUUAGAUACCCUGGUAGUCCACGCCGUAAACG
rnacentral:rRNA from 1 species